UUUGUAUAGGGACCCCUAGUGUCACUACAUCGACACAACGUCGAGUGAGUGACAGAUAUGGAACGUCCUGGUUACUUGUGUAACCUCCGUUCCCUGAUGGAGGGAAUGAGACAUUGUGUCCCUCCUGCCACAAUGCUGAACUACCUGCUGAAAUGGCCGGACCUUGUCUCGGCUCCUCAGCAUAAAACCUGAAUGAGUGGUUGCAUACCAGUUCAUUUUAUACCCGUAUGUCUGGGGGAGUGGCAUGCAAAUACCACUCGCCAAUUUUCAAUGGCCUUUUAUCAAAGACCAGGGGUGUCUCAGGCUCCCAAGAGUGACCCCUAGUGUCACUACGUCGACACAAUGUCUCAUUCCCUCCAACAGGGAACGGAGGUUACGCAAGUAACCAGGACGAUCUCACUGUGUAAACCUGUAAAUCCUGUGAAUCUCAGAACAUACUCUCGCACUUGGUUUCACAAACUACAACUUGUGUGGCUUGAAUUCCUAUCAGUCAUAUAGCCUAAAUAUUUCUGCUAAAGAAGAAGCACAAGUAGAUAACGCAACGGCAUUGCUCUGAAAUAAAGGAUGGUUAUUUACUGCAGUAAUUUUUUUUAUUAUUAUUAUUUGGAAAUUAUUUUUUAUUUUAUAUUGUUUUGAAAUUGUUUUGGACUGUUUUGGUUUGUGAACGGCGCUUGGUCUGUGGAAGUUUCUCUUGUAAACAAUGUCCCACUUCCUGUCUCCUCCUCCACGUGACACGUGACCUUACCAACGAGCUGACGUCAUCCCUCUCAUGAGCGCGCGUCGCAGAGAUGUACGGAAGCGAACAUUUGUAGUUAAAAAGUAUAUAAGUAGUUUCUAAAAAUAAUCAAUCGUUUGGGUUCAGAAGAACUUUAUUUGUCGACUGGAGUCGUGUGGAUUAUUUUGAUGCACCCUAAAUAUGCAUUUUGGACCGUCAAAAAAUGGAGUACAUUAAUUUGCAUUGUUGAACCCUCUGGUGUCUGAGGGUGUUUUGGGCCCUAGAGAAGUUUUGACAUGCCUUGACAUUUGUGCUUUUUUCAGUUGCUUAAAAACAUAUUAAUGGCUAAAGACUGAUAACACUGUAUUCAGCACAAACUGGGCUACAAUAAUAUGUGAACAACAUGUACAGUAUGUACAUGUUUGUAUUUUUGUGAAAAUAACGUUUAUGCGUGGUUUUUGAAAUAACAAACAUUUUAAGUCACUGAAAUAAGGCCAUAUAACACAUACUAAACAUUUGUUCACAAGACUUUUGAGAACUGGAUCUUCUAGCCUAGAGUUUUUGCUACAGAAAUGAUGUGAAACCCAUCCUGAUCACUCAUUCAUACGAAACAAUAUAGUCAUAUAACUUUCAUACAGAUUACAUUGCAGGAAAAUAUUUGUUUUAAAUUUGAAUUAUUUUAUUUAAAAGUAGACAUUUUAAGCUUUCUUUAGACAUAUGUUUCAUGUUUGUCUGAUAAGUAUUCGCGGAGUUGCAGUUCAUUUUUGUGACAUGUUUCAGAAAGAUGCUUGCGGAGACAGAGACAGCUGAAAGCGCACCCUGUUUAUUUGAUUUAUUUUACAAAAGCACAAGGUUUUGUUGUUAUUGUGAGUGUAUACAAAUAAAAGUAGAUCCUUUAUAGUCUCUAAUGAUGUCUUACACUUAUCUGUAUGCCCGGAGUAUUAAAAUGACGGAGUAUUUUAAGUUGUUUCCGCUGUUAUGAGGAAAAAAUCCAGCAGGACGGGCCGGCGCGUCCGUCAACCCCAGAGGGUUAAAGGAGGACACCUGAAAUGAAAUCCUAAAAAUCUUAAAUUCUGUUUUGAUGAAGAAAGAAACUCAGAUACAUCUUGGAUGGCCCGAGGUUGAGUAAAUUAUCAGCAAAUUUUCAUUUUUGUGUGAACUAUUCCUUUAACUAAUAGGUCGGAAGCUCUCUCUAAAGUAAUGCGUAGUCGCAUUAUAUGACGUUUACCUGUAUUGAUCCAAUAAACAGCCUUCAAAUUUGUACAUAGAAGUUUUAAAAAUCUGUGAAUUUCAAUUUGAUCUUGUUACGGUUGAUGUUCAAACCUUGUUUGCUCACGUAACUGUCAGCUGUAAUAAAUUGUAUCCCCGUUAAAAUGAUACGUAAUAAAAAAAGAUUUAAUUUAGCCUAUGUAUAUAACAAUAUUCAAUAACUGUAUCUAAAAUUAAUAAGGGACAAUAAAUAAAUAAAUACUAAUACAACAGGCUUAACAUUUAUUCAUUUUAAUAUCUAUGUCAUCUGUUGAAACUUGACACCGGUUGGCGUACACAGGAAAGUGUACCGUUAGAUCGGUUUCAUACUGAAGAAGUUUUUUACAUAAUGUUUUUAAUGCAACGUCACCAUAUAUGUCGAAAGGACUGAAGCCUGUCAACCAAAACAUGAGCUCAUUGAUGUCAUUAAAUGAGUCUACUUUUUCAUUCCAUCCUUUAUUUCUGGUCAGAGGCUUCCGUAAAUAUUUAGUUUAUACGUAGGGUUACGUCCUAUCUAAGUUUAAUGGUGCAAUGCUCACAUAUUUAGUAGUGCAUAAAUUGUGAUUUACAGCUCAUUUACACCACAACUAGGCUAAGUUGUAACUUAUGUAUAGCUGGUGCAACCGGCCCCAGAUGUUUCUUGUUUACCUUGUUAGUCCCUGUGUAUAUAUUGCCCUUGUGUACUCUCUGUCUUUGUCAGUUCUUCUCCAUUCAUGGCUGUUGUAUUUUGUACUUUUCUCGUGUUUCUGUUUUCUUGUGUUUAUUUUUCUGAGUUUAUAUUAAAAGCCUGCACUUAGAUCCUGCUUGUCUUGUCUAUCGGCAAACAUUACACCAUGUCUUCUGAAGAGAUCCAAUAGGUUUUGGGUGAGAACAGACCAAAAUGUAACUCCUUUUUCGCUGUACAUCUUGCCAUUGCAGUCUCUAGGCACAGUUAUUUUUUCAAGCUCAAUUACAUUUCCUGGUGCUGACACAUGCACAGAGCACUAGAUUCCGCUAUAGGAAGUGUAAUCGAACUUGAAAUCAUGAUCGCCAAGGAGAUUUAUAGUGAAAAAAAAUUACAUUUUGGUUUGUUCUCAGCUAAAACCUAUUGGAUAGAUUCAGAAGACAUGGAUUGAACCACUGGAAUUGUAUGGAUUACUUUUAUGCUGCGUUUAUGUGCUUUUUGGACCCUCGGAAUUCUGGCCACCAUUCAUUUGCAUUGUAUGGACCUAUGGAGUUGAAAUAUUCUCCUAAAAAUCCUUUAAAAAAAUGUAUCCUAAAAAUUUGUUUUCUGCAGAGGAACAAAGGAAGUCAUUCACAUCUGUGAUGGCCUGAGGGUGAGUAAAUGAUAAGAUAAUUUAUAUUUUUGUUAUUAAAAAAAUAGCUUUGUGUGAACGUUUAUUGAAGGAAUCAUCUCAAUAAUAUGUAAGCCAAACAAAAUACUAAAUGAAGAAUAAAACAUUGAGGAUUUGUGCAAUAACUAGCAUUUCCUCUCCAGAUCUGAAGUGUCCUUUUACAAAUGUAUUUGUUAAAUUUCCAAACCUUCAUAAAUAACUCCAUAUUCAGUAGCUGGAGAGCAUUUAUGUUUGGGAGCAGAGAUCAGUACUGUGUCUGAGGUUUGUUCUGGGAAGUGUCAGUGCUCAUUUUGAAUGAUAGUGUUUUUGUUUGUUUAAUAUGGUUGGUAUCAGUGUUAACCCUGUUUUGCUGACAUUUAGGAUUUAUGUGUCCCAAAUUGGUAGCAGCAAUGGAACCUUAUUACUUCUUCCCGAUGUUUUUUUUUUUUUUUUUUUUUUUUUUUUGAUCUUUAUCCUUCUUUCACAACUGUGUGGUCUGUACAGUGUAUUAAACAGUGACUUCCAAUUCUAUUUUCCAAAGAAGUGAAUUAUUAUUAACUUACCUGGCAACUAGACUGUAUAGCAGAUGGAUUGUAUGGUUAACCUAGUAUUUGGCAUCAGACCGUUGGCCAAAUUGUGUGAUCGUAUAAUUAUUUAUAAUAGCUUACAGUAAUAACUUACUGCUUCAGCUAUAUGUUAUCCCUUGUUGUAGUUCCAAUAUCCAGUUCUUGAAAUGUUAAGGUCCCGUGAUAUAACAAAUUUUUUCCUCACCCUGAAUAUCCUUAUUUUACCUGUAUUUAUGUUACUGCGACUUGGAAAGAUGUUUAGAUGUAUCCUCCUUUGUUACAUAUUGGGUUACCAUAGACACCUAAUUGCAAUAUAUAAAGGCUGCUAGCAUCAAGGCAUUCAUCUUUUUCAGGCCAUCCUUUCGUUCUCCAGCAUUAACAAUGUGAGAGUGUGUUCCUGGCUGUCACAAAAGGCAUGUGGCUACCAUUUAUAGUGCUUUCUGGUGCUACCACCUUUGUCCUCUGUUCUGUCUCUUAUUUCCGUGUUUUUGUUUUGUAGCUUUUGAACCCUUUUACAUUUUUGGAUAUCAGUUUUUUCAACCCUGCAACCUUGCAAUCUCACUGUCUCUCUUACCUUUUCCUUCUUCCAUUCUUAGCUUAAAGGGAUAGUUCACCCAAAAAUGAAAUCCUGUCAUUCAUCCUCAUGUUUUCCAUGUUAAGUCCCCUGUCUGACUUUCUUUUGUGGAACAAAAAAGGAGAUUUUAGGCAGAAUGUUAGCUUCAGUCACCAUUCACUUUCAUUAUAUGAAAAAAGAUGCAAUGAAAGUGAAUGGUAACUGUCACUAGCAUUCUGCCUAACAUUUUUGUGUUCCACGAAGACAGAAAGUCUGCUUGGAACAACAUUGUAAGUUAUUGAUGACAGAAUUUUAAUUUUUGGGUGAGCUUUCUCUUUAAGUUAAUGUUUAUUUUUAUUUUCCUAUCUCUCUCUAUGUAACUGAUACCUGCUCCAUCAGCCUGUCCUGAUUGAAUUAGGGUCACAUACUCUGCCGUUAUGUGCAGAUGUUUUGUGGCAUAUAGUAAACGAUAUCCAGCUCAGCAAUGUUUAAAGUGCUUACCAUUCAUCAUCCCCUCUGUUUACGCACAUGGCCAAUAUCUCCAUCCUCAUGCUUUCAACCUGCUGUGGCUUUUAUGGCAUAUUAACAGGCUGAGUGAUGAAUUCAGCCUAAGAUUUAGUCUGAUGAGGAUCACAGUAGGUUUCAUUACAAUAUACUUCAACUUAUUUGUGUAUCAUAGAGAAAGAGAAAAAGGAAACAGCUCUUGACUUGCAUUAUUCUUCAAUAUUAAUUCUGCAUCCAACAUUCAAUGGUGUGUGUGUGUGUGUGUGUGUGUGUGUGUGUGUGUGUGUGUGUGUGAAGCUGGGAAAUAUGUGUUUGUUUGGUUUCUGAAUGCGGUGCCUAAUGCUGGAUAAAUUGUUGGAUAUAGUGGACAGUUUUUCACUAAAAAAUGAAAAUUCUGUCAUCAUCUACUCAACUUCAUAUUUCUCUAAAGUUAUAUGUUUAUGAAUUUGAGCAGAUUAUCCAGGUUCAUACAAUGAAAGCAGAAAGACACCAGAGGCUUUCAAGCUCCAAAAAUGACCGUAAAAGAAGUUUAAAUGGCUCAUGCCAAAGAAAACAAAAACUGUGCAGCCCACAGUUGGCUUUGGUAAACUUUCUCACUGAAAAUCUUCCCUUAUAAUUGUCAUUUUUAUGUGAACUACCACGUUAAGUGACACAAUUUUCAUUUUCAUUCACACAUAUAUCUGUAAAAUACCAAUGUUUUUUAAUUAACAAUUUGUUACAAAAACAAAUGUCUCAGUUACUCAAGUAACCUUGGUUCCCUGAAAGGAGGGAACAAGACACUGCUUCAGAAUGCUGAUGCAAGGGGGACUCUUCUUGGGAGACCAUACCUUGAAACCCUAUACCACCAUGCAAAUUUGACUGGCUUGUCACGCUUGGCGCUCUGCCCACACUCACCUACCAUGCGUAUUUAAGGUGGUGCCAGCGUCACAUUCCCAGAAUUUCUGAUUGAAAGUAGAAGAGUGUAUCUCUCGACCCCUGCAGAUGAAAAUCAGUAGUGCAGAACAGCUAUGCAGUGUCUUGUUCCCUUCUUUCAGGGAAGAAAGGUUACGUGAGUAACCGAGACGUUCCAUUUUAAGAAGGUAAUUCAACGCUGCAUCAGAAUGCUGAUGCAAGGGGAUCGUAUACCAUAACACCAUGCUACUGACCAGCAAUGUCCACUUGCCAGCAGGGUAGUGAAAAUGACAUUGCAUAAACCACAGCUAAGUAAAACAAUAGGCAUUGAGUGGGGAACCCAGAAUCAACUGUUCACUAUAAAGACAAGGCACUAACCAACUGGAUAGGAGACCAAUGUCCCAACAUAUCUGCUCAUUAUAGGGGAUAAAGGGGAGCAGGGCAGACCACAUAAAAUGGGCCAUACAUAAUGAUACUAGAACCCAGGGUAGUGAACACUACAUGCUUUCUUCACAUCUUGGAGACAGAGAGCUAUAUCUUCCCACCUGACACCAGACAAUGAUAUUAACCAAUUGUAGUGAUCAUUAACCAACAUUCUCAAAAAAAAAAAAAAAAAAAAAAAUUCUGAGAAGACAGGGAAGAUACUUGCAGGUUAUAGAACCUUGCAAAGGUUUUAGGGGAACAAAAACCUGCAUCCAUACAGAUGUCCUGUAAGGACACACCCUUUGCCUAUACCCAGGGGGAGACCAUACUCCUGGUAGAAUGAGCUUUCACCCCCAUUGUAUGCUUUAUGAUUCAUAAGCAAGGGCAAUGGCUUCAAUGACCCAAUAGGAUGUUCUCUGCUUUGAGAUGGCCGAAUCUUGUAGCGGCCUCCAAAGCAGAUGAACAGUUGUGCAGACACCCUAAAUCGACUCAUUCAGUCAAUAUGAAUAUGCCCAAAUCCCUUACCUGGUAGAGCAUGUGUAAUCUCUUAGCCUUGUCUGACUCAAGGAAGGAAGAAAGUAUGUAGGGUAACAAACUUAGCCUUAUGGAGGUUGCCAGCACUUGAAGCAUAGCCUUCCCUGGGCUUAAGAAUGGCCUCAGACAGACACUGUCUGAACUCUAGACCGGAGUAUUGAUAGAAGGGCCUGAAGGUCCCUAAUAUGCUUGACUGAUCCCAAAGCGAGAAGCAGCACAGUUUCCAAAGAGAGUAUGCGUAAACUUACCGCCUCUAAUGGCUCAAACAGGGAACCCGUAAGUGCGUUUAACACCAAUGAUAAUUCAAAGACCAGGAUGGUAGCAGGACGAAAAUGCUCUUAGCCAUCUCUUAACAUGCAGAAUCCUGCUGACCAGAGGGUGUUGCUUACAGACAAGCCCUCAGAGGUCAUGAGUGGUCGCUAUGGCAGCGACAUGCUUUAAGGGGGAUGGAGAGAAUCCUGCUUUUGUAUAAAAGAUAGCAUCGUCUGCACAGGGCAAUGGUCUGGUCCCUAAACCUAGGAAGAACACCAAUCAGCAAAAAGUCACCACUUGAAUACAACAGCUGCCUCGUUGAGGGGUCCCUGGCCUGCAGCCUGUAGUAAGAGAAUGGACAGAAUGCCUUCGUCGGACUGGUGCCGACAUUGUUACAGAAUCGAGUUUCAUUCCUAAGAAGGAACCUUACUGACUGGGCACUCACACGCUCUUUGUCCAGUUGUCCUUGAGGCCCUAGUUAGCUAGCAACAGGUCUUCUGUGCUUGCACGCUUUCAGCUAUUAGUAACCAAUUGUUGAUAAUGCAGAUGCCACUUGGUUUCAGUGAAGCGAAUGCAGCAUCUACACUUUAUAGAUGUGUGAAGGACAAGGACAACCUGAAAGGUAGAACCUUGAACUGGAUUGCAGUCUACUUGAAGGCGAAUCUCAAGAAUGGCCUUUAGCAAGGGGACUGCACAUAUGUUACUGCCAAUUGCUUGACACAACCAGCCCAGUGAGGACAUGAGACCAGUCUUUCUCUGAGUAACUACCUUGACUGGAGACUUAAAAUUGUCCAAUUCAAGAGCUUCAACCAUAUGCCACAGCCCGCCGUCCUACUUGGUGACCAUAAAUUUAACGGCCGUAGAAGCUGAUUUGUGCCUUGUAUGCCGGUACUUCCUCUAUCGCAUCCUGGCAAGGAUUUAUUAUACCUCUGAGCGUAAAAUUGUCCAGUCUGCAGGGAAGUGAAAAGUGAAUACCUGACAAUUUUAGCCAGGAGUGUCAUUCCACUGACACCAGGCUGCCCUUAGAUAUGCAAAUUAACUAGGCAGAAAUCCAUUGUAUUCAUGGAAUAUCACUAUUCAUAAGCACUGCAAAAGCAGCUGCACCAGAGAUCUGAACUCUAACUAAAUAAGGAGAACAUCAAGUCAAAAUGUGCAAUUCCAGAAACAGCAUCACCGGCGGCAAAGCUUGAAGGCACGCUUAACACGUUGAACACCUUUCACUGGGCACCACCGUGCUCUUAUCCUUUUUUAAGGGUUCAGUGAAAACCUGAAGCAACUCCUUGUCAUCGUCACCCCCGCCUCUGAGGGCCAUCCUACAGCCAGGCUCAUGAUGGGUGUGGGUAGGAAAGAGAAGUGGUGCAUGGAUAAUAAGUCUCGAUCAAAGCAUGCGAUGCAGCCCAUGGACAACACCCACUAUGUCUGUCUCUUGCUCACCCUGCCACAGCGGUGGAGAAUGUGGGCAAUUUCUGGGCAGAGACGGUGCAGUUGGGCACCAACAGUGAUGUCACUCUCCCUCUCAUUCGCUGAUUAGAAAGUCUGGAGUGGGACGGAGAAGACACGGGUACAGCCUCCCUGCUGCAGAAAAUGGUGUGAGCGAGAGGGAGAGCUGGCCCAGAGAGGCAUCCCCUACACACCCACUCGGACCAUAGGGCAUUACUGUGUGGGCAGCGAGGAGGGUUUCACCUCCGGCUCUGGAUUCUGUGUUCUAAAGGAGCAUGGGAGGAGGUGCCGCAGGGCGAUGUGGUGGAAUGACCCACCCCUCCCACUUGUCAUUGUCGCCCUGCCUCUGAGGGCUAUCCUUCAGCCAGGCUCAUGACGGGAGUGAUCAGGAGAGAGAAGAGGCGCAUUUAAACUCGUCACUGCUGCCAAAUAAACGCAGAGAUCACCUCUUUUUGGGGAGCUCUUUUUUUGGUUUCAAUGAUGAGAGCCCAGCUAGCAUCCCUUUCAUCUCCACUGAACGUGAUCAUAUCACGCUUGCAGAUUAAGCUUAAGCCUGCGUAAACCUGCCUAAAACCUGCUUUGUAUUCCAUCCUCUCGCGUUUCACUCAAAUGGUCCCUCGGGAACCACAGAGGAGCAUUAGCAGGAGGAGAGGGAAGUAGCUUUAUGGAUGUAUUCCUUCAACCACUAAAGAUAGCUUCACUAAUAAUCUUCCAGACUUGUUUCAAAUAAAAAAAGUUCAGAAGAACUUGAUGUUGUCACAGAAAAUAUGGAUACAGUCUUCUCUAGCACUUUAGAUAGUGUCGCCCCUCUUCGAGUAAACAAAGUUAAAGAGAAAAAUCCUGCACCGUGGUACAAUGAUCACACUCAUGCUCUCAAGAGAGCAGCUCAGAAAAUGGAGCGUAAGUGGAAGAAUAUAAAAUUAGAGGUAUUUUGCUGUGCAUGGAAGGAUAGUGUCUCUAACUACAGACAGGCACUUAAAACUGCCAGGUCUGCAUAUUUGAGCAAACUCAUAGAAAAUAACCACAAAAAUCGUAGGUGUUUAUUCAGUACUAUGGCUAAAUUGGUUAGGAAUAAAACUUCUAUUGAACCAGAUAUUCCAUUGCAGCAUAGUAGUAAUGACUUUAUGAAUUUCUUUACUGAUAAAAUCAAAAUCAUCAGAAACUAAAUUGGAAUUAUGCGUCCGCCUGCCACAGCACCCCAGAAGACUACAAUUAUUCCCUAAGAGCAACUUCAAUCCUUUGCUGUUAUUGAUCAGGAAGAGCUAACAAAAAUGAUCAAAACAUCAAAAUCAACAACAUGUAUGUAUGUUAGAUCCAAUACUGAAUAAACUCCUAAAAGAGGCGUUUCCUGUAAUCUCAGAACCUUUUCUUAAUAUUAUUAACUCCUCAUUAUCCUUAGGGCAUGUCUGGAAGUUAUCAAACCACUUAUCAAGAAACCAUAGCUUGAUCAAGGAGAUUUGGCUAAUUAUAGACUGAAUUCAAAUCUUCCAUUUAUGUCGAAAAUGCUAGAAAAGGUAGUGUCCUACCAACUAUGUUCAUUUUUACAGAGAAAUGGUAUAUAUGAAGAAUUUCAGUCAGGAUUUAGGCCCCAUCAUUGUACAGAGACUGCACUUAUCAGAGUUACAAAUUACUCGCUCUUAUCAUCUGAUCGUGGCUGCAUUUCUCUUCUAGUGCUCUUAGAUCUCUAGUGCUCUUAGAUCUUAGACACCAUACAUCAUGACAUUCUCUUAGAUAGGCUUGAGAAUUAUGUUGGCAUUUGUGGACCGGAAUUAGCUUGGUUUAGGUCCUAUCUCUCUGACUGCUACCACUUUGUCUGUGUAAAUGAAGAACUUUCAGAUCAAAUUAAAGUUAAGUAUAGAGUGCCACAGGGAUCAUUUUUAGGGCCUCUGCUGUUCUUCUUAUAUAUGCUCCCCCCGGGAGACAUUAUCAGGAACCAUGGAAUUAUUUUUCCACUGUUAUGCCGACGAUACACAACUUUAUAUUUCUUCGAAACCUGAUGAAAUUUAACAAUUUUCUAAAUUAACAAAUUAUAUAAAUGAUAUCAAAGAGUGGAUGGCUAGAAAUUUCCUUCUACUCAAUUCCGAUAAAACAGAAGUACUCAUUAUUGGAACAAAAACCUCAAAAAAUAAGAUGAUAAAAUGUAAUCUGAUUUUUGAUGGAUGUACUGUAACAUCAACUUCUGCAGCAAAAAAUGUAGGUGUUAUAUUUGAUAGCAAUCUUAACUUUGAAAAACAAAUUUCCAAUAUUUGUAGAACUGCAUUCUUCCACCUCAGAAUUAUUGGCAAGUUAUGACACAUGCUAUUUAUUUCUGAUGUUGAAAAACAAAUUCAUGCAUUCAUGACCUCAAGACUAGAUUAUUGUAAUGCAUUACUUGGUGGAUGCAGCAGUGAGAGUGCUAACUAGAACCAAGAAAUAAGAUCCUAUCAGCCCCAUUUUACCGGCGUUACAUUGGCUACCUGUUAAGUUUCGUAUUCAUUUUAAAAUUCUGUUAAUUACUUACAAAGCUUUGAAUGGUCUAGCUCCAAAGUAUUAAGCAACCUUCUGUCAUGCUAUAAUCCAUCGCGCUCAUUACAAUCGCAAAACUCUGGCCUGUUAACAAUACAGAGAAUAUCAAAAUCCACAAAAGGAGGGAGAUAAUUUUCAUAUUUGGCUCUUAAACUAUGGACUAUGGACUAUAGUCUCUCUAGCAGUGUUCGGAACUCAGACACACUGUCUCAGUUUAAGUCUAGACUAAAAACGUAUCUAUUCAGCCAGGCAUACUCCUAAUUUAUCCCUCAAUUCAUAGCUAUGCUGCUUUAAUUAGGUCUGCCUGAACCGAAAACACUUCUCUUAUUCUUUAACCCUGCUUUAAAUUGAAUGGCAUCUACGCUAAUUUUA